rnacentral:rRNA from 1 species
UACGUAGGGUGCAGGCGUUAAUCGGAAUUACUGGGCGUAAAGCGUGCGCAGGCGGUUUGCUAAGACAGGUGUGAAAUCCCCGGGCUUAACCUGGGAACUGCGCUUGUUACUGGCAGGCUUGAGUGUGGCAGAGGGGGGUGGAAUUCCAGGUGUAGCAGUGAAAUGCGUAGAUAUCUGGAGGAACACCGGUGGCGAAGGCGGCAUCCUGGACCGAAACUGACGCUGAGGAGCGAAAGCCAGGGGAGCAAACGGG